CCUACGGGGGGCAGCAGUAGGGAAUCUUCCACAAUGGACGAAAGUCUGAUGGAGCAACGCCGCGUGAGUGAAGAAGGGUUUCGGCUCGUAAAGCUUUGUUGGUAGUGAAGAAAGAUAGAGGUAGUAACUGGCCUUUAUUUGACGGUAAUUACUUAGAAAGUCACGGCUAACUACGUGCCAGCAGCCGCGGUAAUACGUAGGUGGCAAGCGUUGUCCGGAUUUAUUGGGCGUAAAGCGAGUGCAGGCGGUUCAAUAAGUCUGAUGUGAAAGCCUUCGGCUCAACCGGAGAAUUGCAUCAGAAACUGUUAGACUUGAGUACAGAAGAGGAGAGUGGAACUCCAGGUGUAGCGGUGGAAUGCGUAGAUAUAUGGAAGAACACCAGUGGCGAAGGCAGCUCUCUGGUCUGCAACUGACGCUGAGGCUCGAAAGCAUGGGUAGCGAACAGGAUUAGAUACCCGGGUAGUC
rnacentral:rRNA from 1 species